AUACGUAGGGUGCAAGCGUUAAUCGGAAUUACUGGGUGUAAAGCGUGCGCAGGCGGUUUUGUAAGACCGAGGUGAAAUCCCCGGGCUCAACCUGGGAACUGCCUUUGUGACUGCAAGGCUAGAGUACGGCAGAGGGGGGUGGAAUUCCGCGUGUAGCAGUGAAAGGCGUAGAUAUGUGGGGGAACACCGAUGGCGAAGGCAAUCCCCUGGGCCUGUGCUGACGCUCAUGCACGAGAGCGUGGGGAGCAAACAGGGUUAGAUGCCCAGUUAGUCCACGCCCUAAACGAUGUCAACUGGUUGUUGGGUCUUCAUUGACUCAGUAACGAAGCUAACGCGUGAAGUUGACCGCCUGGGGAGUACGGCCGCAAGGUUGAAACUCAAAUGAAUUGACGGGG
rnacentral:rRNA from 1 species